UUUUCUCAUUUUCUCUAGUCUUACCGGAUUUUCUCCAAAAGGCCAACUAAGUCACUCGGAGUGCAGAGAACGCUUGGGUGCCAGCAGUAUCAACGAUGGCCAUGUUUGCGUAUUUAACGACGACACUGGACCAUGCAGUGGUGACAAUGGAGGACCUUUAACCUGUGAUAGUGUAUUGGUGGGAGUGUCGUCAUGGGCCUCAACCGGGUGUCCGACGUCAUCCCCUGGUGUGUACACAAGAAUUACGCACUUCCUUGACUUUAUCAACGAGUAAUAGUUGAAUAUAUUUUGGAAAAUUCAGAAAUGAAACCAAA